rnacentral:rRNA from 1 species
GCUGGGAUUAGAUACCCUGUUAUUUAAAAUGUAAGGAUAAGUAAUAAAUUAGUAUUAGAUAUGAUCUUAAAAUUUAAUAAAUUUGGCGGUAUUUUAAUCUAAUUAGAGGAACUUGUUUUAUAAUCGAUAAUCCUCGUUAAUCUUACUUAAUUUUUAUUUGUAUAUCGUCGUCAUAAAAAUAUCUUUAAAAAGUUAAAAAUUUUUUUAAUUUUUAAAUAGAAAAAAUGUCAGAUCAAGGUGCAGUAUAAUUAAGUAAAAAUGAGUUACAAUAAAUUUAUUUAUAUGAAUAUAUUAUUUAAAUAUAAUAUUGAAGGUGGAUUUAAAAGUAAACUAUUUAAUAAAAAAUUGUUGAUAAUAGUUCUAAAAUAUGUACAAAUCGCCCGCCACUCUCUGA